rnacentral:rRNA from 1 species
AUGCACCAUUUAAUUAGGGAAAUUUGUUAUAAUGAAGUAUAUUUUCAAAUGAGUAUGCAUGCCAAUAUGUAUUAUUUUUUCAUGCAUAUGUUCAUUCAUGCAUUUGACAAGAGAAACUUGUGGCACAAGAUGCCUGUUCCAAUCGGUUUACUCUACCUAAACACCCGCCGAACCCUCCUCGAAAAAUACAACCUGCUAGUUGUUGGGAGUUCUCAUGGUGCUUUGUUUGACCCCAAGGAGUUCCCGUACCGCACCGGAGAUGGCAAGUACAACGACCCCCAUAAUGCUGAGGCUGGUAGCCAAUACACCUUUUUUUGGAGAAACAUGAAGCCAGUUGAUCAACAGGAUGAGCUGUUAGCCAGGAGAGAAUACAAGGACACAGGGAAACGGUUCAAUAUACUAGCAGUUGCAUGGAUACAGUUCAUGAUUGAAAUUGCAGCUCCAAAAGAAGUGGCCAAUGAGUGCCCCCUAAAAUCAUUCAAGAGUGCAGUAUAUGGUAAUAAUGAGAAACAUGCAAAAAAGAUUAGGACUUAUGAUGAUGGAACACUUGUGAUUGGAGAUGAUGGUCUUCUUUUGCAUGAGGAGAAUGGUGUGCCAUUAUCGGGCGACGUUCGCAACGGUUGGGUUGGGGUUUUGAUCUUGCAUGCUCUUUUUUUAAGGAACACAAUGCAGUUUGAAGAACAUCCCAACCUAUCAGAUGAAGAAUUAUAUCGGUAUGCCAAAUUGGUCACUUUUGCUGUCAUUGCAAAGAUUCACACUAUUGAUUGGACUGUCGAGCUUCUCAAGACUAAAAUCAUGAAAGCUGCAAUGCACGCAAAUUGGUAUGGAUUAUUGGAUAAGAAAAUAAAAUAUACAUUUGCUCACAUAGGAGGAACACCGAUCAGCCAUGGCGUACCUUAUUCUUUGACUGAAGAGUUUACCCGUGUUUACAGAAUGUACAUCGAUAUUGGAGAGUUGGUUGGUCUCAAGGGGGAAGAUCAGCUAUCGAAAAUAGGGUUUGAAAAACAAAAAUUAUCAAUGGGAUAUCAAGCUUGUGGUGCACUUGAACUAUGGAACUACCCAAGUUUCUUCAGGGACCUUAUACCACAAAAUUUGGAUGGUACCAAUCGAUCUGAUAGAACCCACCUUGCUGCCCUACAAGUAUACCGAGACAGGGAGAGAAGUGUACCGAGGUACAAUGAGUUCAGGAGGAGAGUAUUUCUUAUUCCAAUAAAAAGUUGGGAGGAUCUCACAAGUGACAAGGAUGCAAUUGAAGCCAUAAGAGCAAUAUAUGGAGAUGAUAGAAAAAAAAUCAAGGGAUUUUCCAUAAGCGAAACAACAUUCAACAUUUUCAUUUUUAAUGGCAUCAAGGUGAUAUUUAGUUCACAUCGAUUUAUUACAAGCAAUUUCAAUGAGAAAACAUACACCAAGAAGGGGAUGCAAUGGGUCAAAACAACUGAAGGCCUACGAGAUGUGAUCAACAGGCACUACCCUGAAAUUACUGCCAACUGGAUGAAGUUCUCUAGUGCCUUCUCUAUGUGGGAUGCAAACUACUAG